CAGGGAAACAGCGACAUCAUGAGGAGUCCAGAAGGAUCUGUGCUCUAAUGUCUCAAAUAGGAAGGGAGGGGAAAGGGAAUUCGAUGUGGAGGGAGAGUCUGUUUGGCAAGCACUCUACAUAAAAUCCAGCAGAGCUGAACUGUAGUGAGAAAGAGGGAUGAAGGAAAAGACCUGGACCGCCAAAGUGCAUUACAGAAUCCCCGACGAAGGGCAGCCCCAACAUGGGACACAGCUCACUGGAAGUGUAAGAGAAGGAAGGACCCAUGCAACUUACUCACAACCGUCGUCUUAAACUUGUUGUUGUCAUAUUCAGCUCCACAUAUUUCCACCUCCACAAAGGGACAUGCGAUGCUUCGUCCAGGCUUGGGAAGAUGGCGUGCCCCGAGAACCUAGGACACCGAAGCAUGCGAAUAUCUCUGAAGGGGAGUCUGAGCAUGAAGCCCUCAAAGACAGAUGCACCAGGAAGAAGGCGAGUGCAGAAGGAAGCCACUGAACACCUUGAUCCAGCUGUGCCUGAAGGUGGACCUACUUCUAGGCUUUUUAAAUAUGUGAGCUAAUGAAUUUCCUUUCUUUCUUAAUCCAGACUCACUCAGUGUCUGUCACUUGCCAACACAGAACCUGCCAAAUACAAGUGCCCACUGUCAGAUGUACCCAUCAGUCCCCUUAGUCACUCUAUUCAACUGAUGAGCCUCACACUAGCAUGCUGGUUGAACCAGUUCCUAAGACAAAUCACAGGUACUGGGACAGUGUAUUCCACCAGAGGCCCCAGAAGACUGUGCUUGGAAUGACACUACCAUCAUCUUAGAUUUACUGGCCACAAGUUUCCCCU